GGGAAGAUGGCGAGAAAAGCUGUGUGUAUUUCUGAGGUGCCCGUACCGCAAACCGACACAGGUAGGUAGGAAGAAGAUUCUAAGGCCAACGGGAGAAGGGUUGUUAAGGAACUCGGCAAAUUGACCCCGUAACUUCGGGAGAAGGGGUGCUCCAGAGAUGGAGCCGCAGAGAAUCGGCCCAAGCAACUGUUUACCAAAAACACAGGUUUGUGCUAAAUCGAAAGAUGACGUAUACGAGCUGACGCCUGCCCGGUGCUGGAAGGUUAAGAGGAGAUGUGCAAGCAUUGAAUCGAAGCCCCAGUGAACGGCGGCCGUAACAAUAACGGUCCUAAGGUAGCGAAAUUCCUUGUCAGGUAAGUUCUGACCCGCAUGAAAGGCGUAAUGAUUUGGGCACUGUCUCAACAGCCCGCCCGGCGAAAUUGUAGUACCGGUGAAGAUGCCGGUUACCCGCGACAAGACGGAAAGACCCCAUGGAGCUUUACUGUAGCCUAAUAUUGGGUUUCGAUGUUGCAUGCACAGGAUAGAUGGGACACAGGGAAACAAUCGCUUUGGCGGUUGCGGAGUGGCCGUUGGGAUACCAUCCUUGCGAUAUUGGAAUUCUAACCUGCGGCUCUGAAUCGAGUCGGGGGACAUUGUUAGGUGGGCAGUUUGACUGGGGCGGUCGCCUCCUAAAAAGUAACGGAGGCGUUCAAAGGUUCGCUCAGCUUGAACGGAAAUCAAGCAAAAGAGUGCAAACGCAGAAGCGAGCCUAACUGCGAGACUGACGGGUCGAGCAGUAACGAAAGUUGGAGUUAGUGAUCCGGUGGUAUGUGAGUGGAAAUGCCAUCGCUCAACGGAUAAAAGUUACCCUGUGGAUAACAGGCUGAUCUCCCCCAAGAGUCCACAUCGACGGGGAGGUUUGGCACCUCGAUGUCGGCUCAUCGCAUCCUGGGGCUGUAUUCGGUCCCAAGGGUUUGGCUGUUCGCCAAUUAAAGCGGUACGCGAGCUGGGUUCAGAACGUCGUGAGACAGUUCGGUCCCUAUCUGUCGUGGGCGCAGGAUAUUUGAUGGGAGCUGUCCCUAGUACGAGAGGACCGGGACGGACGUACCUCUGGCGCACCAGUUGUUCCGCCAGGAGCAUAGCUGGGCAACUACGUACGGAUCGGAUAAACGCUGAAAGCAUCUAAGCGUGAAGCCGACCCAAAGAUAAGAUAUCCCACUGAUUCAAUCAGGUAAGAUCCCUUGAAGACUACAAGGUUGAUAGGCACGAUGUGUAGGUGGAGUGAUCCAUUCAGCAAGAGUGUACUAAUAGAUCGAGGGCUUGACCGG
rnacentral:rRNA from 1 species